UAAAUCUUCGACUCCUUCAGAAAUGGACCAAAUGAGUCUAAAUCUAAUAACCACAAAAUUCCCGUGGGCAGACUUCGCCGCCUGGAAGUAAGAUAAGCAAUGAAGAAAUGCUGAGCUAUAUGUAUGAAUCUUUGAAAAGGAUUGAGGAUAUAUGAGAUACUUUUCUUCCUAUUUAUCUAUGUACUAUGCGUACUUCGCUGCUAAACGUUGCUGCUAUAACUCUAUCGUCAUUAACAUUGUCCACAAAAGGAAGUUUUAUCCCACACUGUUAUUUUAGAAAACAAUUUACACCUUUAUAAUCUUCAGAGUAGAGUAUACAUAGCACGACCUUACUUGAACAGGAUCUGUUCUAUAGUAUUCGUACCUCUGUAUCUUUGAGUUCUAAAGAGACAGAAAACCAAGUUUGGUGGAUGAAUCAUGACCGUGCGAUCUGAGCGUGAUUAACGGCUACCAUUGAUCUACUGGUCUCUGGCGCUGUAGAUGAUCGUUCCUCAGUUCCUUUGUGAUCUUGAGGAAGAUCGCACGGUUGUCUGACAGACUUCAAAAACUUUUUUAAUGUUUUACCCAAUUUUUAUUGUAACAUUGAACUGAAAUUUAGUUGGUGUCUUUUUUAUUUUUUGGGGUGAAAAAAGAUGAAUGGGAAAUUUGGAGGUGGGAAGCUUCCAACCGGAACGCCGUCCAUGGCAAGGUCGACUGUGGUUGUUGUUCUCUCUCUUCUGGGUGGCGCCUCCGUUGUCCACAACAUAUACAAGCCUGACCUUACUUUGCCAUCUCCGGAAGAAGUGAGUGAGGAUAAGCAAAAGAAUGAGAAGCAAUGAUUCUAUCUAGCUUUCUGUCUUUCGAUCCUCUUGUAAGUUUGACUUGAGCAAUGAAUAAUGCCAUCAUAAACUUUGCUUUCAAGCUAAAUCAACGAAUCUUUGAAUGAAAUUAAGGAUAUCAAGUAAACAUUUUCUUUGGC